CCUACGGGAGGCAGCAGUGGGGAAUAUUGCACAAUGGGGGAAACCCUGAUGCAGCGACGCCGCGUGAGUGAAGAAGUAUUUCGGUAUGUAAAGCUCUAUCAGCAGGGAAGAAGAAAGACGGUACCUGACUAAGAAGCCCCGGCUAACUACGUGCCAGCAGCCGCGGUAAUACGUAGGGGGCAAGCGUUAUCCGGAGUUACUGGGGGUAAAGGGAGCGGAGACGGCUGUGCAAGUCUGAAGUGAAAGCCCGGGGCUCAACCCUGGGACUGCAUCGGACACUGUGGAGCUAGAGUGCUGGAGAGGUAAGUAGAAUUCCUAGUGUAGCGGUGAAAUGCGUAGAUAUUAGGAGGAACACCAGUGGCGAAGGCGGCUUACUGGACGGUAACUGACGUUGAGGCUCGAAAGCGUGGGGAGCAAACAGGAUUAGAUACCCCUGUAGUC
rnacentral:rRNA from 1 species